CAAACACUCAAGGUAUGCAGUGAGGAAAUGCAGUCAGGAUCCACAGGCUAAGUGAAGUGCCAUGUGGGGCCAGCUUCUCCUCAUUUUCCCUCUGGACCAUAGUACUGUGUGGAAGCGCCUAUUAUCUUCUCCAUUGGUUGUUUCACUUGGAGCUGGAGUUGUGGCUGCAGUCAGUUUGGAGAUAAUGUGGGUAUCUUUUUAGGUUCUUUGGGAACAGGGCUUUCCCCUCUUACCUGUGAAGUGCAUGGCAUUCCCUU
rnacentral:lncRNA from 11 species